GAUGAACGCUGGCGGCGUGCUUAACACAUGCAAGUCGAACGGAAAGGCUCCUGCUUGCUGCGGUACUCGAGUGGCGAACGGGUGAGUAACACGUGGGCGAUCUGCUCUGCACUUUGGGAUAAGCCUGGGAAACUGGGUCUAAUACCGGAUAGGACCACAUUUUGGAUGGUGUGGUGGAAAGCUUGUCGGUGUGGGCUGAGCUAGCGGCCUAUCAGCUUGUUGGUGGGGUAAUGGCGUACCAAGGCGUCGACGGGGAGCCAGCCGGUGAGGAUGUACGGACACAUUAGAACUGAGAGGCAGGCCACACUCCGACAGGGUGCAGCAGGGGGGAAUAUUGCACAAUGGGCGAAAGCCUGAGGCAGCGACGCCGCGUGGGGGAUGACGGCCUUCGUGUUGUAAGCUCCUUUCGCUAGGGACGAAGCGUUUUUGUGACGGUACCUGAAGAAGAAGCACCGGCUAACUACGUG
rnacentral:rRNA from 1 species